UACGGAGGGUGCGAGCGUUGUCCGGAUUUAUUGGGUUUAAAGGGUGCGUAGGCGGCCUAUUAAGUCAGUGGUGAAAGGUAUCAGCUUAACUGAUGAUGUGCCAUUGAAACUGACAGGCUUGAGUACAGACGAGGUAGGCGGAAUUUAUGGUGUAGCGGUGAAAUGCAUAGAUACCAUAAAGAACACCGAUAGCGAAGGCAGCUUACUAGGCUGAGACUGACGCUGAGGCACGAAAGCGUGGGGAGCGAACAGG
rnacentral:misc_RNA from 1 species